UACAGAGGUCUCAAGCGUUGUUCGGAUUCAUUGGGCGUAAAGGGUGCGUAGGUGGCGGGGUAAGUCAGGUGUGAAAUUUCGGAGCUUAACUCCGAAACUGCAUUUGAUACUGCCUUGCUUGAGGACUGGAGAGGAGACUGGAAUUCACGGUGUAGCAGUGAAAUGCGUAGAUAUCGUGAGGAAGACCAGUGGCGAAGGCGGGUCUCUGGACAGUUCCUGACACUGAGGCACGAAGGCCAGGGG
rnacentral:rRNA from 1 species